rnacentral:tRNA from 1 species
GCUCAGUUGGUAGAACAUGAGACUCUUAUUCUCAGGGUCGUGGGUUCGUGCCCCACAUUGGGCG